UAUCUUUGCCCAUCAUUUGUGUACAUAAUAAUCAUUUAAAUAAAUAUUGGCAUG
rnacentral:ncRNA from 1 species